AUGAGGCAUAUGACAUUGGUGUCAUGUUCAUCCCCGCCGACAACCAUAGCCCGAGCCACGAUCUUUUCUUUGAUUAUGACCUUGGCCUCUGCCAUGACAGCAGUGUCAUGUUCCUCUACAGUGAUGAUCACCACGUCCACCAUGCCAAAGGCGCCGUUCUCCUAUAUCUCUCCAUGCCCGCAAGCUAGUCAUGUAAUUCUCCAUCGAUCUCAUCUAUGGAAUCUCAGUUUAGAGGGUGUGCCCGAAACCCUAACUCAUCUUCGUUAUUGGACAUGGACACAUGGUGUUGCAAUAGAGUGGAAAACAAGGAGGACAAUGGAACGAACAGAAUUGGCAUCGUCAUCGAUCUCACUCUGA
rnacentral:rRNA from 1 species